GGGGAAUAUCUUCCAAAGCCCGAAGGGAAAGUUAGUCUCCCUGUCUCACUAGAAGCUUAGUUUGAAAGAUUGUUUCUAAAAUUUCAGAUUCCAGUUCUGCAAAAACAUGUGUCCCAAUUGCCUUUAGGUAGAGUCAAUAUGAGACAACUCCUGUAAGCUGUUAUCAUGAAUAAGCGUGCAAAAAAUAUGUAAUAACAGAAGCAAAUUCAUACAAAUGCUCUACCUAAUGACUCAUCAGUUUUAUCCUCACACAUGUAUAGGGUGAACCUGGAGAAGCUGGUAACCCUGGACCUCCUGGAGAAUCUGGAACAUCUGGUCCAAAAGGUGAAAGGGGAGAAAAAGGUGAGGCUGGUCCACCUGGAGCAGCUGGACCACCAGGUGCUAAAGGACCUCCAGGUGAUGAUGGGCCUAAGGGUAACCCAGUAAGUAAGCUUAAUAAUUUUAACACAAAGCACAGUGAAACGUUGCUGAAGCUGUGCUACAUAUAGAACUAUAGAUUAAAUUCUACAUUUGAACUAAACUUAUUAUGUUCUUAACAAAAUAUUUCUGAUGACUGUUACCUGCUUCUCUGUGGAUGACAUCUUCCUUGUUUUUUUCCUGAUUUACCUAGGGUCCAGUUGGUUUUCCUGGAGAUCCUGGUCCCCCUGGAGAGCCUGGUCCAGCUGUAAGUAUAUUUGAAAAGCAGUUUUAGGUCCUGGACUUGGUUUGCAUUCAAUUGCAGUUACCCACAUCUCUUCUUGGUUUGGAAAGGAGGUCUUUCCUGUCAGAUUUAUUGCUUUGGC
rnacentral:lncRNA from 1 species